UUCGGAUUGCAGGCUGCAACUCGCCUGUAUGAAGUCGGAAUUGCUAGUAAUCGUGGAUCAGCAUGCCACGGUGAAUACGUUCCCGGGCCUUGUACACACCGCCCGUCACACCAUGAGAGCCGGGAACACCCGAAGUCCGUAGUCUAACCUAUAUGGAGGACGCGGCCGAAGGUGGGUUUGGUAAUUGGGGUGAAGUCGUAACAAGGUAGC
rnacentral:rRNA from 1 species